rnacentral:lncRNA from 1 species
UCAGGAUCAAGGAAAGGCUACCUUGACUGAACAAAAGGAAGACAACUAGAGGCUUUUCAUGAGUCCACAUUCCAGAGGCACUAUAUCUUUAUGAGACACAACUUCCAUCUACCCUUGCAAAUGAUAUUACAAGGUACUGGCCCAGAAGCCCACAGUUCUAGAAGAGGAAUCUAAUUGGCUCAGCUUGAGUUAUCUGUCUAUUCUUCAUCCUCUACGCUGUCGCCACCUGGGCCAACUUCUUCUCCAGUGUUGCAGAUGGGCAAGCAUAGCACACCAGGUCUGCAAGCCUUUCAUUUUAAAGGAUUACACAGGCCCUUCCCAUGAAGCAUCAAGAGAAAAACUGCACACGAGACACAGCAUGGGAUAUGUAAGUGUGGCAUUUGUUUCAAAUUGUCUG